rnacentral:lncRNA from 1 species
UAACGCUGAAGGCAACACAUUUGAAUAUAAAAGUCAUAUGCAUGUUUAAAAACAAACUGAAUAAGCUAACUACACGACAAAUAAACUGUGUAGAAGCACACUAAAAUAUCCUGAGUAGUAUAGCUCGGCUCAGAAGGCCUGACUUCUGCCUUUCCUCUAGCGCACUUCUAAAUUGUGCUGCUUUACAUUUAUGCUCCAAAUGAGCAGGUGGCCGUAUUUAUUUGGAAAAGCGAUCCGCGCAACCAGUUUCUAAGGCGCGGUCCUCUCUACAUGCGUGCAGCAACAACUGUCCGACGCUUUCAAAAAUCAGCUGGAAUAAACUGCAGAACAAUCAAUAUCUAAGCUGAUACAGUGUGAUUAUUAAAAAUCACGAAAUCCGAAAAGAAAGCCUUAUCCUGACGAAAACUUACGCGAACUAUCUAAAACAAGUCGCAAUCAAAACUACACUGAGGCUGUCUUCCGCCUACAUCUCCGUGAAAAUAAAUAAACGAAAACACUGACGCUAUCCUUUCUCGAGCGUUCAGCUGUCACGUUUUCAUGAA